GCUUACGGCAAUACCGCCCUAUCUGCGCCCGAUCUCGUCUGAUCUCUGAAGCUAAGCAGGGUCGGGGCUGGUUAGUACUUAUAAGGGAGACCGCCUGGGAAUAGCAGCUGCUGUAAGCU
rnacentral:rRNA from 1 species